GGAAAGAUCUACAAUAAAAUCAAGAAAUGUUUCCCAUUCCAUGCUAUUGUGGACUGCAGAGGAAAAAGGUUCCAUUUAUUGAAGAACUGUUCUUGCUUUCUAUAGAUGAAACCCAGCUUGAUUUUUGUCUUGCCUGGGAUGGAAAGCAGGAGAUUUUUAUGGAUGAAGAAGUUGUGAUGCAUUUCUACAACUGCAAAAAGAAAAAAACCAACAAAAAAACCCAAACAAACCUGGCUUGGACAGGAAGAAGACAAUGAAAAAUCAUUGGGAAACUGCAGACAGUCUUCAGAAUACCAACUAGAGUCUGCAUUGUCAUCCUACUGAGACCACAAUCAGACAAGAAAAAAAUCUUAUCUAUCUUAAUGGAUGUUUAAAAUAACAUUUGAAUACUUAUAACAACACCAGAAGUAUUCAACAAAUGAGAUUAUCCACAGCAGUUGGAAGUAUUUCCCGCAUCCUGCU